GACGAACGCUGGCGGCGUGCUUAACACAUGCAAGUCGAACGGAGAUUCAGCAAUGGAUCUUAGUGGCGAACGGGUGAGUAACGCGUAGGCAAUCUGCCUUCUAGAUGGGGACAACAUCCCGAAAGGGGUGCUAAUACCGAAUGUUGUAUGAUCUUCGCAUGGAGAUGAUACUAAAGGUGGCCUCUGAAUAUGCUACCGCUAGAAGAUGAGCCUGCGUAUGAUUAGCUAGUUGGAGGGGUAACGGCCCACCAAGGCGUCGAUCAGUAGCCGGUCUGAGAGGAUGAACGGCCACAAUGGGACUGAGACACGGCCCAGACUCCUACGGGAGGCAGCAGUGGGGAAUCUUCCGCAAUGGACGAAAGUCUGACGGAGCAACGCCGCGGGAGUGAAGAAGGUUUUCGGAUCGUAAAGCUCUUUCGUCAGGGACGAACGUAUUUCUUGUAAAUAAUGAGAGAUAGUGACGGUACCUGAAUAAGAAGCCACGGCUAACUACGUGCCAGCCGCCGCCGUAA
rnacentral:rRNA from 1 species